rnacentral:piRNA from 1 species
ACUGUCAUCCACAAAGCUCUUAGC